UUGACCUCAAAUCAGUAGGC
rnacentral:rRNA from 1 species